rnacentral:rRNA from 1 species
CUACGGGUGGCAGCAGUGGGGAAUAUUGCACAAUGGAGGAAACUCUGAUGCAGCAACGCCGCGUGGAGGAUGACGCAUUUCGGUGUGUAAACUCCUUUUAUAUAGGAAGAUAAUGACGGUACUAUAUGAAUAAGCACCGGCUAACUCCGUGCCAGCAGCCGCGGUAAUAGCGGAGGGUGCAAGCGUUAGUCGGAAUCACUGGGCGUAAAGCGCGCGCAGGCGGCUUUGUAAGUUGGAUGUGAAAGCCUACGGCUCAACCGUAGAACUGCAUCCAAAACUACUUAGCUAGAGUCUGGGAGGGGAAGAUGGAAUUAGUUGUGUAGGGGUAAAAUCCGUAGAGAUAACUAGGAAUACCAAAAGCGAAGGCGAUCUUCUGGAACAGUACUGACGCUGAGGCGCGAAAGCGUGGGGAGCAAACAGGAUUAGAUACCCUCGUAGUC